rfam:Ochotona princeps cont2.9371, whole genome shotgun sequence.
UGCUCGUGCCUGACCCAUCUGCUGGGCUGCCCUGGGCGCAUGGCUGAGAGUGGCAGAAGCACUCAACUAACCCGAAGUGACAACGUGCCUUGCGGGCCCGAUAGA